rnacentral:tRNA from 1 species
GGGGCUAUAGCACAAUUGGCUAGUGCAUCUCACUGUCGAUGAGAAGGUUUCGGGAUCAUACCCCGAUAGCCCCGCCA